rnacentral:rRNA from 1 species
AUGACUAGGCUGUUUUCGCUGUGUACCUGGAAUGUCCGUGGACUCGGCGAUGCAUGCAAGUGCCGUGAUGUCCGUGCUAAUUUCGAGGCCAUGCAACCCUCCUUUGUUGCGAUCCAAGAAACCAAACUUGAGCGCCCCCCUACUGCUAAAACGGAAAUGUUCCUCCCCCCCUCUCUGCGUAAUUCUCUCUACAUCGACUCGGUUGGCGCUUCGGGAGGGGUCUGUUCAGCCUGGAACGCAGAUGUUUUCUCCCUUUCUCACCACAUUGCCACCUCUCACGCCCUCUCCGUGGACCUCUCUCUUUGCCAAGAUGGCUCUCCCCUUCGGAUCACCAACGUGUAUGCCCCCUGCGUCCACAGUGCCAAAGAAGCCUUUCUCGCCGAGCUGGCCGGCCACGCUCCCCCUUCCCCCGUCCCUUGGGCUAUCUUAGGUGACUUUAAUCUCAUUAGGUCGCCUGAAGACCGUAGCAACGAUAACUUCUCCCGCUCUGAGGCCAAAUGGUUCAAUGACUUCAUUAAAGAUCUCGCGCUCAUCGACCUUCCUCUCCGGGACCGUCGGUUUACGUGGUCUAGCCGUCAAACCUCCCCGAUUCUUGCUCGCCUCGACCGGGUUCUCAUUAACACUACCUGGGAUAGUGCUUUCCCCACCUCCAUGAUUUCCUCGUUUACACGCUCCACCUCUGACCAU